CUGAUGAGAGAAGCCCAAUACUUGACUUUUUAGGGUUUCACCUCUUUCUCACUCAACAGUCCCUCACUGCCUCUCUCUCUUUAAUUGUCUUUUGGUUGUGUUAUUUGAUAUGAUUUUCUUGGGAUUUGUUGAUGGGAUUUCUGGGUUUUUGAAUUUGGUUCCGAAAUUCGAUAUUUGGGAUUUUUUGGAGUUGGGGGUUGUGUUAAUUGUCAUUAGUUGUUCCGUUUGAAUUGAUGAUAUGAUUUCGGGUAUUAACUAUUGUAAUUCUUGUUGUAUGUGUUUUGUUUUGGGGCAAGUGUUGUGGUAGAAAUAACGCUUGUUCUUUGUGUUUUCACUUCCUUUGUUAUUCUCAGAGGUUAUUUAUUUAUUUUUUUUAAAAUCCUGUGAUUCCUACUGAGUGAAAAACUGAAAAUAUUAUUGUUAUUUGUAACUUCACUACUAAUUAUUUUCUUCAUGGCUAAUUGGUUUGUUGUUUAAUAGUGGCUUUCCUGUGUGGAUGCGAGAUAUUCCUGGUAUUGAAUUUCUAACAGAUAAUGCACUUUUUAAGGUAAGCGUUAAUGUGUUAUGUAGUCUCUCUCAACUCUCAAAAAAAAAAGGGGUAAAUAUGCUCAUUAAUAGUCAUCUGCUGCAUUUCAGAUUUCCUCAAUAAUUUUGAUUGAAUGUUUCUUCAGGAGAAGAUGCAAAGAUUUGUUACAAAGAUUUUAAACUUAAUGCGGGAGGAGAGUUUGUUCUCUUGGUAAGGAGGGCCACUAGUACUAUUGCAGGUUGAGUGAUUUUUAGUUUCGUGUUGAAGUAGGAUACUAGUUUCCUUAUCUAUGUUUACAUACUUCUGCACAAAGACCCCCUUCCCCCAAACAGCAGCAACAAUAAAGCUUUAAUCCCAAAAUGAUUUGGGGUCGGCUAACAUGUGUAAUAGACUUAGCUCCUGCUAUAUAUGCUUUAAAGUUUCCUUAGUUAUUUAUGAAUAUGAUCUAGUUCCAUGCUGUUACCAUUAGUUUUUUCAAGUAUCAGAUCCUGAAAUUUGCAACUGUUGCUAUUAUUUGACCUACAUGAUCAGUCAAUAUGUUUCACAUCAUUGCUAAAUUUGGUAUACAAUAUGCUUAAUAUUGUUUUGCAAUUACACAACUUUACAGGUUUCUCUAGGGGCCUGAAACUGAUCCGGAAACAGUACGUAAAAUCAGAGAUGCAAUUAAUAAUGAAACAAAUGUUACUGUUCAGCUGAUUAACUACACAAAAACUGGUAUUCUUUACUUUCUGGACUUUGCUCAACUAUACCCCCACCCUCAUCCCCUUACAUUAGGGUUGGGAAUUGAUUAGGUGGAAUUUGCUUGGGAUUUCCUAGUGCUUCUAUGUACUAAAACACUGAUUUUAUGUCAAUGAAGUUUAAGAGGCUCAAUAAGGAUAUUACUCUAUAUUACUUGUGCUAUAAUAGUUAGUUACUUUCCUUCCUUCAGGUGACUAAUAAUAUUGCUAAAAUGUCUGUAUAGUCGUGAUACCUUCUCCUGCAUAUCAUCCUUUUAAAUGAAUCAUGUAAUUGCAAGAUUCCAUUUGUUUCCUGUAUUGAAGCAUCUUUGCCAUAUUGAUUCAAAUACUUGCAUGAUGUAAACUCUUCCAUACUCUAGAAAUAAAGUACUGAUGGGAAAAGGCAUGGAUUUACCAGUGUUACUAUGUAGCAGUGUAUGUUUAUCACUAAAUCAGUUUUUAUUAUCUAAAAUCUACAAGUAUAAACCUUGGAACAAGCUUCUGUUUCCGAAUCUGUGGUCAAAUAAGUUGCAGAUGACUGUGAUUUACUGAAUUUAGGGAAAAAAUUCUGGAAUGUGUUCCAUUAACAGCCCAUGCGUGACCAAAAGGUAUAACUUUCUUUACUGCCUUCAACAAUUGUUUGUAAAUUGUCUCCUACUGAUUAUUAAUUUAUAUUCUCUUAAGCCCAUGUCAUGAUUUGAUUCAUUGUUAUUCUCUUAACUAUUCCUUGUGUGUUUGUCUGUGAGUAGGGAGAAGUCCAGUACUUUAUUGGGUACAAUUAGAUGGUAGUCAGCAUGUCGAACCACUUUAAAACAGCAUUCCGGUAGCUACUGUAACUGAGAGUGAGAAGCUGGUAAAAGAAACUGCACAAAAUGUUGAUGUUGUAGUCAGAGAACUUCCCGAUGCCAACAAGAAACUUGAGGACUUGUGUGUGGGCAAAUCAUUCAAAGUUUGUACGAGCUAAACCACAUAGGAAGGAAUGUGCCUCAUGGAAAGCUAUUCAAAAGGGUCAAGAUCAAUGCGAGCAAAACCUCUUCAUUGGACAUCUUGUUCACAUCCACCAAGCAUCCAAGCUCAACCAUGGCAAAGUUCGAAGAGUUAUGUUCAGACUUGCUUGACAUAAAUUCUUUCUUCUGUCUUAGAAGCAAAAGCAAUGGUUGAAGAAGCGGAACGAGCUUUGGAGGAGAAGGGUGAGAUCACCCCAAAUGAAGAGAGGUUGGAAUCAGUGAAAGCAGCUGCAGUUUGUGCCUUGGUUGGAACCCUUGAUGCUGUCCCAAUUGUAAUAAUUAUAAAUUGUUGGUUGGAAUAAAAAAAUUGUUGUUUCUUUUUUUUUUUUUUUUUUUUUUUUUUUUUUUUUUUUUUGUGGCCAACUGUAAUAAUUAAAACUUGUGGAAUAAAUAAAAAUUUACAUUGAAUAAUAAACUGCCAACAGCCCAGCAAAUUAUGCUGGGAUUUUUUUUUAA